rnacentral:rRNA from 1 species
UACGUAGGGUGCGAGCGUUAAUCGGAAUUACUGGGCGUAAAGCGCACGUAGGCGGCUUUGCAAGUCAGAGGUGAAAGCCCGGGGCUCAACCCCGGAAUUGCCUUUGAGGCUGCAUCGCUAGAAUUGUGGAGAGGUAAGUGGAAUUCCGAGUGUAGAGGUGAAAUUCGUAGAUAUUCGGAAGAACACCAGUGGCGAAGGCGACUUACUGGACACAUAUUGACGCUGAGGUGCGAAAGCGUGGGGAGCAAACAGG